UGCGUAGGGUGCAAGCGUUGUCCGGAAUUAUUGGGCGUAAAGAGCUCGUAGGCGGCUUGUCGCGUCGGCUGUGAAAACCUAGGGCUCAACCCUGGGCCUGCAGCCGAUACGGGCAAGCUAGAAUUCGGUAGGGGAGACUGGAAUUCCUGGUGUAGCGGUGAAAUGCGCAGAUAUCAGGAGGAACACCGGUGGCGAAGGCGGGUCUCUGGGCCGAUAUUGACGCUGAGGAGCGAAAGCGUGGGGAGCGAACAGG
rnacentral:rRNA from 1 species